rnacentral:rRNA from 1 species
UACGUAGGGUGCAAGCGUUGUCCGGAAUUAUUGGGCGUAAAGAGCUCGUAGGCGGUCUGUCGCGUCGGCUGUGAAAUCCCGAGGCUCAACCUCGGGUCUGCAGUCGAUACGGGCAAACUGGAGUGUUGCAGGGGAGACUGGAAUUCCUGGUGUAGCGGUGAAAUGUGUAGAGAUCGGGAGGAACACCGGUGGCGAAGGCGGGUCUCUGGGCAUUUCCUGACGCUGAGGCGCGAAAGCGUGGGGAGCAAACGGG